rnacentral:rRNA from 1 species
CUCGCCCGGGGACUACGAGCAUAAGCUUAAAACCCAAAGGACUUGGCGGUGCUUUAGACCCCCCUAGAGGAGCCUGUUCUAGAACCGAUAACCCCCGUUCAACCUCACCCUCUCUUGUUUUUCCCGCCUAUAUACCGCCGUCGUCAGCCUACCCUGUGAAGGACACAUAGUAAGCAAAAUUGGCACAACCCAAAACGUCAGGUCGAGGUGUAGCGCAUGAGAGGGGAAGAAAUGGGCUACAUUCACUGACACAGUACAUACGGACGAUGUAUUGAAACCAGACAUCUUAAGGAGGAUUUAGCAGUAAGGAGGAAAAUAGAGCGUUCCCCUGAAACUGGCCCUGAAGCGCGCACACACCGCCCGUCACUCUCCCCGAGCUUACAUUUCAAACAUAAGUAAACCCCCAUAAUUGCAAAGGGGAGGCAAGUCGUAACAUGGUAAGUGUACCGGAAGGUGCACUUGGAAAAAU